rnacentral:rRNA from 1 species
AUGGACGAGGAUGGAAGCUCAGGCCCGGGCUUGGUCCCUGAGGUCAUCAACCUCUUCAUCACCAACACCAACAGGAUCCUCAACGACAUCGUCGGCCUGCUGUCCGCCCCCAAGACCCCCUUCUUUCCAUUUGCUUUCGUCAUGUCAUCUUGGGUACUUAUUUCGUCCGCUCUGCUUUGCGAUACCCAGGAACCAGCCCAUGGACUUCAACAAGGUCGACGACCCGGUGCAUCAGCUCAAGGGGUGCAGCUGCAGGUGACGAUGCUAAAAUAUUUCUUUGUCCAACCCAUUUAUAACUGUAUGUUGUUCUCAGCCGCAUCCAAGGAAAGUGAGAGCACCAGCGCCAAGUCUAGGACUUGA